UGUAUCAGACGACUAUAAACAAGUUGGUAUUUAUGCAAGUCAGCGUCUCGCUGGCGACACUUUCGAAUUGACGGGGACACCCUAAAGCCCUUCACACCAAGCCAGUUGGGGAAACCCGCCGGUGGCCCAUGGGAAACUAUGGGGUAUGGUAAUAGAGGAAGGGAUAAGCCGCCUCGGCGGUGCAAUGGGCAAUCCGCAGCGAAGCUCCUGACGUGAUCGGAGGCGUCCCGCCCCUGAACCAUGGAGAACGUUCAC
rnacentral:rRNA from 1 species